UUUCCGUAGGUGAACCUGCGGAAGGAUCAUUCAUAAUAAAGUGUUUUAUGGCACUUUUUAAAAAUCCAUAUCCACCUUGUGUGCAAUGUUAGAUCUCGUCAAUCUUGGCGAGAUUUUUAUACAUCAACUCAUUCUUUAACUAAUUUGUCUGAAAAAUAUUAGGAAUACUUAAUUCAAAAUACAACUUUCAACAACGGAUCUCUUGGCUCUC
rnacentral:misc_RNA from 1 species